CACCAUUUUAAAAUCCGAAUGCACGCCGCGAGUGACAUUGUUGUGUCAGUCUUAAUGAAGACGCUCUUUUGAUAUAACUUUUAUUUGAGUGAUUUAAUGAUUAUGUGAAGAAGAAGAGUAAUUGUGGAAAUAAGGAGGAAGAAGAAGAAAUGGCUUUGAAUAGAAAGCGAGGAAGUAGUUUUUUACAUCAGACAGAUGUAGAAAACAGCAAUACAAACCACAAGGACAGUACGCAUUUAUUACAGAAAAGACCUUGUUAUGAUCUCAGGGUAUCUGCUCACAUUACCCAUGUAUCAGGAAAUAAUGAAUCCACAUUUAAUAUGAAUAUCAACAACCGUGUCUUCUCUCAAAACCAAACUGACACAGCUGAAUCCAUGGAGGUAAG